rnacentral:lncRNA from 1 species
GGGGCUGAAUUAUCUGGUCUGGGGAGGGUUUGUGGUUGGUUUGGUUGGAAUGGGAUGAGGAUUUGAGGUGAUCAUCCUCAUAGUUGUCAGCCAUCAGCUUCAUACGGUUCUGUGUCUGCUGCUUGAGCUGUUGCACAAGGCGGUCUUUCUCUCGUUUGAGGGCAGCCACUUCAUCCUGAGUCUUCUUCUUAGAGGAUGAAAGUUCUAGCAGAGCAAUAUUGGCAUCUUUUUCACUAAUGGCAGCAAGAAGGGCUUCUUGUUUCAUCUCCAGGACUUCCUCCAAAUGUUUUCUUCUUUCUGCUCGUAGGUUGGUCAGAUGGGUUUCCUUCUCAGCCAAAGACUGCUGUGUAGAAGACAAUUUUGCUUUCAUUGACUCCAGCUCCUGCUUAACCUUCUCCAUGGCCAUCAUCAGCUCUUCUACCUGUUUCUCAGCAUUGAUCCUGGCUGACUCCUCUUGUGCUAGCACCAUUUCCCGCUCUGCAGUUAUCUGAACACUUUCUCUGAGUGCCUCUUCCAAUUCUUCAAUCCGAUCAUCCUUUUUACGCAGAUUGUCCUGAAGCUGUUGGGAGCUGUCAUUAAGAUUAUCUUCUCGUCUCCUGGCCUCCUCCAGCAUUUGUGCACUCUUCUUCUUCUCCACUUGCUCUUUAUGCUUCAGAUUUGCUACUUUCUUAUUUUGAUCUUUAACUUGCCUCUCCAGUUCCGCAAUUUUCUUAUCCUUAUCAUUCUUCUCAUUUUCCAUCUCCUUCAAGAUUUCCAGAAGACGAUCCACUUCAGCUUGAGCCUUACUUGACUCUUCCCGAUACCUCGUUACCUCCCGCUCCAGCUGCUGCAUGCGAUCACUCAGCUCUGGGCUGGCCCUCGCCUCAAGAGUUGCCUCAUGGGCCUUCUUCAAUUGAGUUUCCAUUUUCAAACAUUCUUCCUUUUUCUGUUCCAAUGCGAUUUCCAGUGUCUUGAGCCUUGAAUCUUUCUUCAGUCCCGAUGAAGCUAAGGAUGAAGCAUGCUCCUUCAGAUCCAGUAAGGAUGACUCUUUCUCUGUGAGAUCUCCUUGUAAAAUGCCGACUUUCUCUUUCAGGUCCUUAAUGUCUUUUUUGUAGGUGUCAAUCUCUUCUUGUUUUUCUCGUUCAUCUCUGUCCCGCUGCUCCUUUAGGCGCUCAAUGGUCCUUUCUUUUUCUGCAAGUGCUUCUUCCAGUGUGGUCAAGGCAGUAUCAGUAUUGGUGGUGUCAGCCUGCAAGGAUUUCACUCGAUCCUUUAAACUGCUCAUUUGCUUUUCCUUGUCUCUUAGCUGCUCUUGAAGAUUUUCAAUCUUCUUCUGAAGAACGUUAACUUUGCGUUCCUUCACCUCUAACAUAUCCUUGAGAUCAUGGAUCUCUCCUGCUUGAGUGCCUUUCUCUUCUGCAAUCUCCUGAAUCUGCUUUGUCUUCUUAUUUAGCAUGGUCUCUUUCUCCUCCAAACGUAAGCGUAAUGCAUCCACCUCUGUCUGCAGAAUGGCCGCUCUUUGCUCUUUAGCUGUAAGAGACUCUUUCAGAACUUCAAUAUGCUGCUUGCUGUCAGAGAACUGAUUUGUGAGGGUCUCCAGCUUUGUCUGCAAGGCUAGCAACUCUGUGUCUUUGCGUGACAGCUCCUGCUUCACCUGACCAAUCUCGGCCUGGAGACCAGCCACUCUUUUUUUCAG